CAGGUUGCUUGUUAAGUGAGCUAGCUGUGCACCUCUCACCAUGAAGGGCUUCUUGCAAACACGCCGCUACAUUUCUGAGCAGGGUGUGGCUACCAAAGAUCUGAGUCUUUCAACCUGGAUAAGAGGCCGAUGACAUCCCAGAAGUUUAAAAGAAUUACAGUAACGCUUCAGAGAGCAAUAGUGAGGCAGAUGAUAGAGACAGUGAGGAUGAAGGCAAGAAGAAAAAAGCUGAAAAGAAGCCCAAGAAAGUGGUGAAGAAGAUGAAAGAGAAAGACACAAAAAGAGGUCGUACUAAUUUUGUCAGUAUUUCAGUAUUCUUAUAAUUAUCUCUUAGAUCAAAGUCAUCAGAGAGAUGUUGCUGAUUUGUUGUUGUCU